UACAGAGGUGGCAAGCGUUGUUCGGAAUUACUGGGCGUAAAGGGCGCGUAGGCGGUGCUCUAAGUCCCGUGUGAAAUCCCCGGGCUCAACCUGGGAACUGCAUCUGUGACUGCAUCGCUGGAGUGCGGCAGAGGGGGAUGGAAUUCCGCGUGUAGCAGUGAAAUGCGUAGAUAUGCGGAGGAACACCGAUGGCGAAGGCAAUCCCCUGGGCCUGCACUGACGCUCAUGCACGAAAGCGUGGGGAGCAAACAGG
rnacentral:rRNA from 1 species